rnacentral:piRNA from 1 species
UCNGACUUGUGUGUGUUGCAUAGCUUGCC